rnacentral:rRNA from 1 species
GUUUGAUCCUGGCUCAGAAUGAACGCUGGCGGCAGGCCUAACACAUGCAAGUCGAACGGAGUUAUAUUGUAGCUUGCUAUGGUAUAACUUAGUGGCAGACGGGUGAGUAAUGUAUAGGAAUCUACCUAGUAGUACGGAAUAAUUGUUGGAAACGACAACUAAUACCGUAUACGCCCUACGGGGGAAAAAUUUAUUGCUAUUAGAUGAGCCUAUAUUAGAUUAGCUAGUUGGUGGGGUAAUAGCCUACCAAGGUAAUGAUCUAUAGCUGAUCUGAGAGGAUGAUCAGCCACACUGGAACUGAGAUACGGUCCAGACUCCUACGGGAGGCAGCAGUGGGGAAUAUUGGACAAUGGGCGAAAGCCUGAUCCAGCCAUGCCGCAUGAGUGAAGAAGGCCUUUGGGUUGUAAAGCUCUUUUAGUGAGGAAGAUAAUGACGGUACUCACAGAAGAAGUCCUGGCUAACUCCGUGCCAGCAGCCGCGGUAAUACGGAGAGGGCUAGCGUUAUUCGGAAUUAUUGGGCGUAAAGGGCGCGUAGGCUGGUUAAUAAGUUAAAAGUGAAAUCCCGAGGCUUAACCUUGGAAUUGCUUUUAAAACUAUUAAUCUAGAGAUUGAAAGAGGAUAGAGGAAUUCCUGAUGUAGAGGUAAAAUUCGUAAAUAUUAGGAGGAACACCAGUGGCGAAGGCGUCUAUCUGGGUUCAAAUCUGACGCUGAAGCGCGAAGGCGUGGGGAGCAAACAGGAUUAGAUACCCUGGUAGUCCACGCUUGUAAACGAUGAAUGUUA